CAAUGCAAUCUAUGUUAUUUUUAGUGGCACAAUUAUCUUUUAGUAUUAUCGCAAAUUUCAGUAUUUUAUUAUCUUGUAGCAUUUGGCGUGAAUCUAAAGUUUUCCACACAGCUUACACGCUCUAUUUUCCAAAUGAUCACCUCAAUUUUUGCCCAUCGUGUUACCUCCUACAAAUGGGAUUACUGGUCACGACCACAGCAAGGACCUCCGAUUGCAACCUGUCUCUCAUCACAGGGUUAUCCAUUUUGUGCAAACAGCAGCGGAGACGUAGCCCCAAAAGUCAAUCAGUCUGAAAAUUAUAAAUGCAAAUUGAUGAAGGCGGUGAGGCUGGCAGCUCAUUGAUUACCGAGAUCCCAAGGAGCAUAAACAAUGGCCCACCUCGCAGAGCACGCACGACCAUCGACGUGGCCAAGACGGAUGGACAGUAUAUAACAAUUAGAAGUUUCCUGCUCAUCCAUGGAGUCGUGGGCUUUGGGGAGGGACCAGGAUGAUUGAAUGAUAAAUAGGCCGAUGGAUUGAAGAGUGCGCCACCCAAUCGGCACAACUUAAUUUUCAAUCAAUGCACAAAACCAGAACAAAAGGCUUGCCAAAACCGGCGGAGGAACAACCGGCAGCAGGAGGAACUGGGACCAGACUGCAGUUGAGGCGACUGUUUUAUGGGUGAGCGCGUUGUAUCUGUGAGAUACGUAGAUACUUCUUUUGGUCAGAGCCCCGGGCGCACACACGCAUUCGCGUUUUGUGGUGGCAAAAGAAAAUCCUUGGCGCUCAUAAAUUUUUAUAGCUUGUAAUUAUUUGGAAUGUCGGGCUGGACAGGUCCGCAGUUUUGCCUCCUUUUCCCGGCCCCUCCCCAUUAUUUUCGCUUCAUGGCCAUCAGUGCUGUGGAAAAUGUAUCUGGCUAUUUCCAAAAGGUCAAAAGCCGGUAGCCGUUCAGUUAUGCACCCAAAUGUAAAGAAAAAAAUAUUUUUGAAGCACGUCUAGGCAAGUGGAAGACAAAAAAUGUUGAUCUAAAUUAAUAAAUGAAUAUUCCCUCUUGGCGCGCAGUACUCAGCCAGCUUAAUUGAACAGUCAAUAAAAUGUUUUAAUAAAUUAUUUUAUAUG
rnacentral:misc_RNA from 1 species